CCUGGGGGGGCUAGCAAGGCUGGGGCCUGGGCAUGCGCUAGGCCAUACGUGGGCAUCGGUAUAGCCUGCAAAUAAGCUUGUUAGCCCCCUCUCCACCUCUACCUCUCGAUUCAACAUCAAAAAAAAAAUUCUCGGGCGUGGUGGACGCGGUGGGCCCAUCCCGGGCCCGGUGGGACCCAUUCCAGGGCCAUUGGUGACAGUUCAAGGAAAUGAUCCAGUGGUUUAUCCCAAUGCUUGGGCGCGUUAAAUGGACGCUGG
rnacentral:lncRNA from 1 species